AUACGGAGGGUGCAAGCGUUAAUCGGAAUUACUGGGCGUAAAGCGUACGUAGGCGGUCCGUUAAGUUAGAUGUGAAAGCCCCGGGCUUAACCUGGGAACUGCAUUUAAAACUGGCGGACUAGAGUUGAGUAGAGGGGAGUGGAAUUUCAGGUGUAGCGGUGAAAUGCGUAGAGAUCUGAAGGAACACCAGUGGCGAAGGCGACUCCCUGGACUCGAACUGACGCUGAGGUACGAAAGCGUGGGUAGCAAACGGGAUUAGAUACCCGGGUAGUCC
rnacentral:rRNA from 1 species